rnacentral:rRNA from 2 species
GGACUACUAGGGUAUCUAAUCCUGUUCGCUCCCCACGCUUUCGCGCCUCAGCGUCAGUAUGAGGCCAGGUGGCUGCCUUCGCCAUUGACGUUCCUUCCGAUCUCUACGCAUUUCACUGCUACACCGGAAAUUCCGCCACCCUCUCCUCUACUCCAGUAAAAUAGUUUGGUAUGCACUUCCUAGGUUAAGCCCAGGGCUUUCACAUCCCACACAUCUCACCGCCUACGCGCCCUUUACGCCCAGUAAUUUCGAUUAACGCUCGCACCCUCUGUAUUACCGCGGCUGCUGGCAC